CACAGAACUGCUAACAACAAAUUUUACAUUUCACUACUGGUCUGAACUAUUUUUUACCGUAGUCUCACAGACUAUUUCUCUUGCUUCUGCACAUGUAGCGGAGAACAGAGCUGGAAAGCAGUAGCUGAAGAAAACAUGCAGUUGCCAGCCCGAAAGAGCAGUAAUUACAGUGCUCUCACUGUGUGGAUACGCAUGCAUACUCAGAAUAGAAAGGCAUCAGGAGCAGUUCAAAAUGACAGAUGGUUUGGCAACUUUUUUCAGUGAGUGCAAAAUAAAAAAAAACCUAACUAUGCUGCUGAGAAAUUAAAAAAAGGUUAAUUAGCCAAAAAUUGGCCUUUUAAGGACAAAAUAUUAAAUUGUGAAUUAACGUAAAUUCUACCAUUCUGUUUUGUGCAGUCUCAAAAAAGAACAUGAAAUCUUUAUUUCAACUUCCAAGCUUUGCAGAAUUUUUUGUUAUGUCUGAACUUAGUUCUCUUUAGUUUACAAGUCAAUGCCUAGUAUAUUCUCCCUGGAAUCCCAAACAAAAGCAGCUUCAAUUUCCAAGAUGCUGUCAUUCAAACUAGAUCACAAUACCUGAAAUGCCGCUCAACACACGCUCAAGUUGCAGUAAACAGGUUAACAUUAUAGAUAACAGAAUCACAGAGUUGGAAGGGAUCUUGGAGAUCUCAUCCCCUGCUCAAGCAGGAAACCCUAUACCAAAUUGAAAACCUUUCCUAUAUUUUAUUUAUACUAGGGAUAGUGGGCCAU